GAAAGAGGGGGCGAGCGUUGUCCGGAGUCACUGGGCGUAAAGCGCGCGCAGGCGGCAACCUUAGUGUCGUGUGAAAGCCCCCGGCUCAACCGGGGGAGGCCAUGGCAAACUGGGUGGCUCGAGCUGCGGAGAGGCCCCUCGAAUUGCCGGUGUAGCGGUGAAAUGCGUAGAGAUCGGCAGGAAGACCAAGGGGGAAGCCAGGGGGCUGGCCGCAGGCUGACGCUGAGGCGCGACAGCGUGGGGAGCAAACCGG
rnacentral:rRNA from 1 species